AUGUGUUGCGAUGAUGAUAUUUGUUAAUACCCAGCUCAUUAUGAGACCUUUCUUUGUGAUUGGUCGAAGAAAAGAUUUUCCUUUUAACACAUUAUCUGAGCAAAU
rnacentral:snoRNA from 1 species